rnacentral:piRNA from 1 species
UCUGUGUAUCAGUAAUGGAGGUUAUGGC